GGCGCAGCAGUCGAAGUAUCGCGCUCCUCAUGCUAACUCCGUGGAUCGGAAUCACCGUGCUCCACAUGUGCUCUCGUUUCUCGAUCGUCCACCAGUCGCCACCCCUUGCCGCUUGAUUUCGCCCCUUCCAUCCCUUAUUCGCUGACCCUGAGAUACUUUCCAACACUCUUCAGCAAAAGGGAUAGGAGUCAGAGUGUGCGGGGUUACCACCACUCUGCACCUUAUUAAAUUUAUCGCAAAUAUUAUUUCGAAGAUCGGUUGCUUGUCUAUCGAACGCAAAUUCUUGUCGACUAAGUGACCGAUCUGGAGUUCGUUGCAACUUGCAAUAUUUUUCAAUGCACCGAAAGAAAGUAUCGUCUGUGUUGUGACUUAUGAAGUGUCGGCAUGAGUGUUGUUCCGGUGUAACGAUAAGUACCUCGAUUUGAGGAUUUAUUUUACAUCCAUACUUUUACAUUCCUUCGGUGAUGAACGAUUUUUCGGAAACUUUAAAGUGAUUUCUAGGCGUUGCUUCUGUGUGUUCAAAUCGUGCGGGACUUCAAACGCUGCGUUACGCAGAGCAUCUAAUCCAUCCGCUAAACUUGCAGAAAACAGUUAUCUCAAGUGCUCUGCGGAAUUUUAUGGUCAUUUUUUCCUGGACGGCAAAAUAUUUCUUUCAAAUGUUUAUUUUGCUAGGUAUUGUGAAUAACUCCAGCACUAACGAAAGGAAGUGACUCUUAAAUUAAAACUUGGAUUUUUUCAAGAACUCCACAUCGUGACUCAAACAUUCCAGUUUGAAAGAAUUUUCCAUUCUAGGAAUGAUAAACUUUUCGCUUUGUUUUUAGUAGUGAGUUCAUUGGAAAAUUAAGAGGAGACAACAUUAUCUUUGUUUUCGUGCUGAAACUUUGAAGUGUUUUUUAUUGUGGCGAUAAUGUAUUUCAUUCGGAGAUUGAUGUACGUUCCGCCAAUCCCGCGGCAAGCAAAGUUACGUUCGUAAUGCAAGAAUAAAGUGCGGUUAAAUCAUGCACCGGGUUUCUGCGGAUUGUCUUUCAACGUGUGUUCCUGAUUUAAAACUAUAGUAUCGAUAAUUGGCGUCCCCUUCAACCUAACAGGUAGGAUUCUACCAGCGCUUUCAUUCGAGCAUUCGAUUGCCUGUGUCUCAUCUCAUAAAUUGUCUACCUCUCCUUUAAAUUUACUACAAACUGACCGCUUAAAAUCAAGGAGCUAUUU
rnacentral:lncRNA from 1 species